rnacentral:rRNA from 1 species
GGCGAACGCUGGCGGCGUGCUUAACACAUGCAAGUCGAACGGUAAGGCCCUUCGGGGUACACGAGUGGCGAACGGGUGAGUAACACGUGGGUGAUCUGCCCUGCACUUCGGGAUAAGCCUGGGAAACUGGGUCUAAUACCGGAUAGGACCCUGGGAUGCAUGUCCUGGGGUGGAAAGCUUUUGCGGUGUGGGAUGGGCCCGCGGCCUAUCAGCUUGUUGGUGGGGUGAUGGCCUACCAAGGCGACGACGGGUAGCCGGCCUGAGAGGGUGACCGGCCACACUGGGACUGAGAUACGGCCCAGACUCCUACGGGAGGCAGCAGUGGGGAAUAUUGCACAAUGGGCGCAAGCCUGAUGCAGCGACGCCGCGUGAGGGAUGACGGCCUUCGGGUUGUAAACCUCUUUCAGCACCGACGAAGCGCAAGUGACGGUAGGUGCAGAAGAAGGACCGGCCAACUAUGUGCCAGCAGCCGCAGUAA